rnacentral:lncRNA from 1 species
ACAUGUUGAUAAUCAAAGCGUACAUAAUCUGUACAGGAAUAGAAUAAUUUUGAAACUUCUUACUCAUGUCCAUUGCAUAAAGGAAAUGCAAAGGUAAGAUACUUGCCUGAUUCGCUGAUUACAAAUCUCAACUUAGGUUUUAUCUCUUUAUAUCACAACCUAUCAUUAAUCAGAUCAUUCGUUCGAUUAGAACAAUAUAUCAUAACACAUAGUAUUGUCUAUUACAGUCA